UUUUGGUACAAUCCACACUGGUGAAU
rnacentral:piRNA from 2 species